CCUACGGGAGGCAGCAGUGAGGAAUAUUGGUCAAUGGGAGAGAUCCUGAACCAGCCAAGCCGCGUGAGGGAGGAAGGCCCUAUGGGUUGUAAACCUCUUUUGCCGGGGAACAAAACCCGGGACGAGUCCGGUUCUGCGUGUAUCCGCAGAAAAAGCAUCGGCUAACUCCGUGCCAGCAGCCGCGGUAAUACGGAGGAUGCGAGCGUUAUCCGGAUUUAUUGGGUUUAAAGGGUGCGUAGGCGGGCUGUUAAGCCAGCGGUAAAAUUGCGGGGCUCAACCCCGUCGAGCCGUUGAAACUGGCAGCCUUGAGUGGGGCAGAAGCACGCGGAAUGCGCGGUGUAGCGGUGAAAUGCAUAGAUAUCGCGCAGAACUCCGAUUGUGAAGGCAGCGUGCCGGGGCGAGACUGACGCUGAGGCACGAAAGCGUGGGGAUCGAACAGGAUUAGAUACCCUUGUAGUC
rnacentral:rRNA from 1 species